rnacentral:tRNA from 1 species
GGAGCAGUCGCAUAACUGGCAAGGCAUUCAUAUGUGCCCGAGAAUUAUGAAGAUGAAGGUUCGAGUCCUUCCUGCUCCU